UCUCCGUAGGUGAACCUGCGGAGGGAUCAUUACAGAGUUCUCGCCCUCGCGGGUAGAUCUCCCACCCACUGUUAUCGUUACUGUGUUGCUUUGGCGGGCCGCCGGGCCCCGCUCGGCCGCCGGCUCCGGCUGGCGCGCGCUCGCCAGAGGCCCAGCAAACUCUGAAUGUUAGUGUCGUCUGAGUACUAUAUAAUAGUUAAAACUUUCAACAACGGAUCUCUUGGUUCUG
rnacentral:misc_RNA from 1 species